rnacentral:rRNA from 1 species
UACGUAGGGUGCAAGCGUUGUCCGGAAUUAUUGGGCGUAAAGAGCUCGUAGGCGGUUUGUUGCGUCGGCUGUGAAAUCCCGAGGCUCAACCUCGGGUCUGCAGUCGAUACGAGCAAACUAGAGUGUUGCAGGGGAGACUGGAAUUCCUGGUGUAGCGGUGAAAUGCGCAGAUAUCAGGAGGAACACCGGUGGCGAGGGCGGGUCUCUGGGCAACAACUGACGCUGAGGCGCGAAAGCGUGGGGAGCAAACAGG